rnacentral:lncRNA from 1 species
UUCCCAAGCAUGGAGAGAACUUUGGACAAUGGACUUAGAGACUCAUUAGGACACUUUGCAAAAAGACCUUGGACAAAUGUGACCUAACAUGGAAAGGAGCAUUCAAAGACAAAAUUGUAAUCUUUUACUUGCUUUCUAGCUUAGGACACAAUUGCACACACAAGGCUUUCUCUUGGGCUACCUGACAAUGAGAUCUUUUAUUUCUUGCA